rnacentral:rRNA from 1 species
UCGUCCUACGGGAGGCAGCAGUCGAGAAUCAUUCACAAUGGGGGAAACCCUGAUGGUGCGACGCCGCGUGGGGGAAUGAAGGUCUUCGGAUUGUAAACCCCUGUCAUGUGGGAGCAAAUUAAAAAGAUAGUACCACAAGAGGAAGAGACGGCUAACUCUGUGCCAGCAGCCGCGGUAAUACAGAGGUCUCAAGCGUUGUUCGGAAUCACUGGGCGUAAAGCGUGCGUAGGCUGUUUCGUAAGUCGUGUGUGAAAGGCGCGGGAUAAACCCGGGGACGGCACAUGAUACUGCGAGACUAGAGUGAG